UUCUGAGAUGGGUAAGCACUUCCUACUGCUGCUGCUGGGCCUCUCCUUGCUGUUGGGCUUCCUGCAAGCUCUACGUUGUUACAGGUGCUAUUCGUGUCAGACCUGAUGGGAGUUGUGAACCUCGGAGAACCAUCUGCAAUGCCAAGGAAAAUGAGGAGUGCCUUCUGAUCAAGCACUAUAUUAAUUACAGGCUCUUCCGUGGAUACCAAAACUGUAGGUACAACUGCACCAACACCACCACAUUCCAAGGAACUUUUCAAACGGU